rnacentral:rRNA from 1 species
UACAGAGGGUGCAAGCGUUGUUCGGAAUUAUUGGGCGUAAAGCGCGUGUAGGCGGCUUUGCAAGUCGGGUGUGAAAGCCCUCAGCUCAACUGAGGAAGUGCGCCCGAAACUGCAGAGCUUGAGUACCGGAGAGGGUGGCGGAAUUCCCCAAGUAGAGGUGAAAUUCGUAGAUAUGGGGAGGAACACCAGUGGCGAAGGCGGCCACCUGGACGGAUACUGACGCUGAGACGCGAAAGCGUGGGGAGCAAACAGG